UCAUCCACUGCGCGCUACCGUCGGCGUCACGUCCUAUGAAAAUUAAUCAAUAAAUUAAUGCUUUAGUUUUUUUUGAGUAGAUGGCGGUCGCAUCAUCAGUGAUUCACAGAAUUGUUUAUCCUUCAGUACUUCAGUCGAGUUCUGCUUUUGCUUUUUGACCUAAACCUAAAUUAAAACGGCCCUUACUUAAAAUUGUGUGCAAAUUUGCUCCAGAUUACAGCUAUUUUGUGUGUUCUGUGGAUUACAGUAGUACAAAUAAGUAGUAAAGUUUAGUGGUGAAAUUAGAGCCCUAUAGAGAUCUGCGAUUUUUCAGGAGUUGGCUUGGAACAAGUGGCGCUAUUCAAGGGACCACGAUCACCGGAUCUCUCAGUUUUGGAUUUAUUUUGUGGGGGUAUUUAAGAAAUAAAAUAUAUUCAAGGGAAUAUGCCAACAUGCAACAAUUAAAAAUCCUAAAGUAAAAUGAUUUUGCAGAACUGCAAAGUUAAUAAUUUAUUUUGGAAAAUGCUUUAAAAAAAUUAUAUAUAAACUUUAUGAAACUUGUAGGAGACAUAUUGGUCUGCAUUUUGACUAAUACUUGUGAUUGUUUUAAAAUUAGUUUGCUAUAAAAUUGUUGAACUUUUUUCUAUAUUGUAUUUUUAUAUUUAUAUAUUUUUUUGUUAUAAUGUUAAUAAAUUUACUAAACAAGUG